GGAAGUAAAAGUCGUAACAAGGUUUCCGUAGGUGAACCUGCGGAAGGAUCAUUAUCGAGUUUUGACUGGGUUGUAGCUGGCCUUCCGAGGCAUGUGCACGCCCUGCUCAUCCACUCUACACCUGUGCACUUACUGUGGGUUUCAGACGGCGUAGCGAGCCUUUACGGGUUCGUGAAAGCGUCUGUGCCUGCGUUUAUUACAAACUCUUACAAGUAAAUGAAUGUGUAUUGCGAUAUAACGCAUCUAUAUACAACUUUCAGCAACGGAUCUCUUGGCUCUCGCAUCGAUGAAGAACGCAGCGAAAUGCGAUAAGUAAUGUGAAUUGCAGAAUUCAGUGAAUCAUCGAAUCUUUGAACGCACCUUGCGCUCCUUGGUAUUCCGAGGAGCAUGCCUGUUUGAGUGUCAUGAAAUCUUCAACCUAUAAACCUUUGCGGGUUUGUAGGCUUGGACUUGGAGGCUUGUCGGCCUAACGGUCGGCUCCUCUUAAAUGCAUUAGCUUGAUUCCUUGCGGAUCGGCUCUCGGUGUGAUAAUUGUCUACGCCGCGACCGUGAAGUGUUUGGCGAGCUUCUAAUCGUCUCUUAUGAGACAACACAUUGACCUCUGACCUCAAAUCAGGUAGGACUACCCGCUGAACUUAAGCAUAUCAAUAAGCGGAGGA
rnacentral:rRNA from 1 species